GCUCCCCCCUCCUUUCCCCUUCUCCACGAAAACAACAACGAAGGAGAAAAACUCCACAGUAACGUCUCCACCUCGCCAUGGCGCCGCCACUCCAGGCUGUCCCUCGCCGAGCUGGGACUACCGGGAGAUGCGCCUCGCCGUCCUCAUCAUCCUCCCCAAAGGAAUCGUCCUCGCACGCUCCAAUUCAGCAGCAAAGUCGCCGAUUCCUUCCCCAAGUCCGGCGAGAAAAUCAUCUAUUCUGGCCGCUCUGGUCCUCCUCCGCCCCUGCUGAGCACAUGAACCUCACCGCCGGCGAUGCUCCGGUGAGCCCCUAGGCUCGGCACCACCCCCAUCGGGUUCCCCAUGUUCCGGCGCAGCCCCGAGCCAACUUUCCGUGUCCCGGUUCGUGCAGAAUCGGGAGAUCGACUUCCGACCUGAUCUCCCUCCGACAUGGCUGUAGCCCUCCAAGCUCGACCUUGUCUCUGAUUGUUCUUUUGGCUCAGCGUCCUGUACUUGACACGAAUUGAUCAGCAGCCCACUGGUGGACCCCAGCCGUCAGCCUCUGCCAGGAGCCACCUCAGCGUCCCAGCCUUGUCAGCGUCCUAGUCAGCAGUCGGCCCCAUGCGUCAGCCUCUGUGGCUAGCCUGUCUUCGGCAUUUGCUUCUUCUCGGAUAGGAACGCGAAGUGGUGUUGUGAGAUACGA